CGCGACCCCAGGUCAGGCGGGACNACCCGCUGAGUUUAA
rnacentral:rRNA from 1 species